rnacentral:rRNA from 1 species
UACGUAGGCAGCGAGCGUUGUUCGGAGUUACUGGGCGUAAAGGGUGUGUAGGCGGUUGUUUAAGUUUGGUGUGAAAUCUCCCGGCUCAACUGGGAGGGUGCGCCGAAUACUGAAUGACUUGGAGUGCGGGAGAGGAAAGUGGAAUUCCUGGUGUAGCGGUGAAAUGCGUAGAUAUCAGGAGGAACACCGGUGGUGUAGACGGCUUUCUGGACCGUAACUGACGCUGAGACACGAAGCGUGGGUAGCAAACAGG